rnacentral:rRNA from 1 species
CCUACGGGCGGCAGCAGUAGGGAAUCUUCCACAAUGGGCGAAAGCCUGAUGGAGCAACGCCGCGUGGGUGAAGAAGGUCUUCGGAUCGUAAAACCCUGUUGUUAGAGAAGAAAGUGCGUGAGAGUAACUGUUCACGUUUCGACGGUAUCCAACCAGAAAGCCACGGCUAACUACGUGCCAGCAGCCGCGGUAAUACGUAGGUGGCAAGCGUUAUCCGGAUUGAUUGGGCGUAAAGGGAACGCAGGCGGUCUUUUAAGUCUGAUGUGAAAGCCUUCGGCUUAACCGGAGUAGUGCAUUGGAAACUGGGAGACUUGAGUGCAGAAGAGGAGAGUGGAACUCCAUGUGUAGCGGAGAAAUGCGUAGAUAUAUGGAAGAACACCAGUGGCGAAAGCGGCUCUCUGGUCUGUAACUGACGCUGAGGUUCGAAAGCGUGGGUAGCAAACAGGAUUAGAUACCCGAGUAGUC